UGGGGAAUAUUGCACAAUGGGCGCAAGCCUGAUGCAGCCAUGCCGCGUGUGUGAAGAAGGCCUUCGGGUUGUAAAGCACUUUCAGCGGGGAGGAAGGUGGUGAGCUUAAUACGCUCAUCAAUUGACGUUACUCGCAGAAGAAGCACCGGCUAACUCCGUGCCAGCAGCCGCGGUAAUACGGAGGGUGCAAGCGUUAAUCGGAAUUACUGGGCGUAAAGCGCACGCAGGCGGUUUGUUAAGUCAGAUGUGAAAUCCCCGGGCUCAACUUGGGAACUGCAUUUGAAACUGGCAAGCUAGAGUCUCGUAGAGGGGGGUAGAAUUCCAGGUGUAGCGGUGAAAUGCGUAGAGAUCUGGAGGAAUACCGGUGGCGAAGGCGGCCCCCUGGACGAAGACUGACGCUCAGGUGCGAAAGCGUGGGGCAGCAAACAGGAUUAGAUACCCUGGUAGUCCACGCUGUAAAACGAUGUCGAUUUGGAGGUUGUGCCCCUUGAGGCGUGGCUUCCGGAGCUAACGCGUUAAAUCGACCGCCUGGGGAGUACGGCCGCAAGGUUAAAACUCAAAUGAAUUG
rnacentral:rRNA from 1 species